rnacentral:rRNA from 1 species
UACGUAGGGUGCAAGCGUUAAUCGGAAUUACUGGGCGUAAAGCGUGCGUAGGCGGUGUUGUAAGGCGGGUGUGAAAUCCCCGGGCUUAACCUGGGAACUGCAUUUGUGACUGCAUCGCUGGAGUGCGGCAGAGGGGGAUGGAAUUCCGCGUGUAGCAGUGAAAUGCGUAGAUAUGCGGAGGAACACCGAUGGCGAAGGCAAUCCCCUGGGCCUGCACUGACGCUCAUGCACGAAAGCGUGGGGAGCAAACAGG